rnacentral:tRNA from 1 species
UUAAGAAUAAGCUAAGUGUAAGCUUUUGGGCUCAUACCUCAAAUAUAAAGAUUUCCUUUUUCUU